UACGUAGGGUGCAAGCGUUAAUCGGAAUUACUGGGCGUAAAGCGUGCGCAGGCGGUAAUGUAAGACAGAUGUGAAAUCCCCGGGCUCAACCUGGGAACUGCAUUUGUGACUGCAUUGCUGGAGUGCGGCAGAGGGGGAUGGAAUUCCGCGUGUAGCAGUGAAAUGCGUAGAUAUGCGGAGGAACACCGAUGGCGAAGGCAAUCCCCUGGGCCUGUACUGACGCUCAUGCACGAAAGCGUGGGGAGCAAACAGG
rnacentral:rRNA from 1 species